rnacentral:tRNA from 1 species
GGCGGUGUAGCUCAGUCUGGCAGAGCGAACGGCUCAUACCCGUUAUGUCACUGGUUCAAAUCCAGUCGCCGCCA